UUUUUUUUUUUUUUUUCUUUCUGUGUUUCUAUUUGUCUCCAUGACUUACUUGAUUUUUGGGUUUGGUUUGGUUUUGUUUGGUUGGCUUUUAAUUCAAGUUUCUCUCACCCUUUGAAAUACUGAAUGCUGAAAAUAAACCCACUAUCUUUCAUGGUCUACAGCCCCUUAGCAAGGAAUUCGAUGCUACAGGGAUGUCUUUAGAGUUCUGAUGAGCUGCAGCAGCCACCUCUUGAUGGCUUUAUAGAUACUUUUACUCUUUCCAUCAUAAGUUCAGAGGAAGCAUGGAUUUAGAUUUGGGGUUAAGUGCCCCUGAAAAAUAAGACAUAGUAUGGGGAAAGGAAAUUUCUGUAUUGAGAAUAACCUUACUCCCAGUAAUACAAAUGCAGGUAUUGUCAGCUUGAGUGUUCAAUAGUCUCAACUUUUACCUUUGAACUCACAGAGAAGAAUUCUAUAAAAACCACUACAGAAAACACAAAAAAGCAUUUCUCAGUUCAAAACCAGCACUUGGAAUUACACCAGGAAACAAAUUAGCAGAGUCUCUUGAGGUCCAGCUACUCAGAUGUGCUGUAUCAGAAAUGCCACUUUAGCAGUAAUGCAACUGACAUUUCCAUGUGGUUUCUUAAGAUGACUUGAUGUAAAGCGUGUUGUGGUAGCAACCCAUUAUUGAGGUGAGCAAUCAUCAUCUUAAAGAAGAAAAAGAGGUAACCUCCCCCUUCCUCCAAAAAACCCCUAUUGCAGUUAACAUCUUCAGGCUGAGCAUAAACAUUGUCACGUUGUAAAAUUGUUUGAUCAGAGAACAGUGUAUGUAGACUCUACCAUGUUUCUAUUGCGAUAUCUUCCUAGCUGGAACUUUCUCAGGACGUUGAGUUAGUUCUCUCAACCUUUAAAGUUAUACACAAAUAUGAGGAUAUAAAACAGGGAGCAAAUCCUAGUGCUCAGAAAGUAGGACCAUUUAACCAUCUAUUAACCAUACAGCCUCUCCUGUCAAGUAGGAGGGGCUUUCCUGAAAAAAAGAAACUGAAGAUCACAAUGAAAUGAACCUAGUCACAAUGGCGAGCCGGUAUAAAAAUAACACUAUCCAUCAAGGGAAAGAACAAGUAUCUGGGGUUUACUGCCUAGAUAGUUAUGGGUCCCUCAGCAGUGCAAAAGUUAUUUUUACCUGAUCAUUCUGAAACCAAUAUUGAUUUAGUCAGUUUUAUGCACAUUAUGAUAUUCUAGUAUACACUAAAACUAAGAAAAAACACGAACAUAUGCGCAUUGCUUUUUGACCAAGUAAGUGCUUUAAAUGUGCUCAUUUGUGGAAAGGAAAAAAAUUGUUAUUGUGCCUUGGUAAAAUUCACUU
rnacentral:lncRNA from 1 species